AACGAACGCUGGCGGCAUGCCUAACACAUGCAAGUCGAACGAGACCUUCGGGUCUAGUGGCGCACGGGUGCGUAACGCGUGGGAACCUGCCCUUAGGUUCGGAAUAACUCCCCGAAAGGGGUGCUAAUACCGGAUAAUGUCUUCGGACCAAAGAUUUAUCGCCUUUGGGUGGGCCCGCGUUGGAUUAGCUAGUUGGUAGGGUAAAAGCCUACCAAGGAGACGAUCCAUAGCUGGUCUGAGAGGAUGAUCAGCCACACUGGGACUGAGACACGGCCCAGACUCCUACGGGAGGCAGCAGUGGGGAAUAUUGGACAAUGGGCGAAAGCCUGAUCCAGCAAUGCCGCGUGAGUGAUGAAGGCCUUAGGGUUGUAAAGCUCUUUUACCCGGGAUGAUAAUGACAGUACCGGGAGAAUAAGCUCCGGCUAACUCCGUG
rnacentral:rRNA from 1 species